rnacentral:misc_RNA from 1 species
UCCUGGUUAACCCAGGCAGUCUCACUAGAGUUCCCACCCUAAGUGUUGGCAACUAGUGAUAAGGGUUGCGCUCGUUGCGGGACUUAACCCAACACCUCACGGCACGAGCUGACGACAGCCAUGCAGCACCUGUAUCCCUGUCCUUUCGGAAGACGACAUUUCUGCCGCUGUCAAGGAUAUGUCAAGUCUGGGUAAGGUUCUUCGCGUUGCAUCGAAUUAAACCACAUGCUCCACUGCUUGUGCGGGCCCCCGUCAAUUCUUUUGAGUUUCAUCCUUGCGAAUGUACUCCUCAGGCGGUACACUUAUCGCGUUAGCUUCGACACAGCUGGGGUUGAGACCAGCUACAUCAAGUGUACAUCGUUUACAGCAAGGACUAC